rnacentral:tRNA from 1 species
UGCCGGGGAUUCAGUGCUGGUACUGAUGCCACCCUCUGAAGGUGGACGACGCUGGUUCGAUUCCAGCCCCGGCAAC